rnacentral:rRNA from 1 species
GCCUUCGGGUUGUAAAGCACUUUCAGCGAGGAGGAAAGUUUGAGUCUUAAUACGGCUUAGAUGUGACGUUACUCGCAGAAGAAGCACCGGCUAACUUCGUGCCAGCAGCCGCGGUAAUACGAGGGGUGCAAGCGUUAAUCGGAAUUACUGGGCGUAAAGCGUACGCAGGCGGUUUGUUAAGCAAGAUGUGAAAGCCCUGGGCUCAACCUAGGAACCGCAUUUUGAACUGGCAAACUAGAGUCUUGUAGAGGGGGGUAGAAUUUCAGGUGUAGCGGUGAAAUGCGUAGAGAUCUGAAGGAAUACCGGUGGCGAAGGCGGCCCCCUGGACAAAGACUGACGCUCAUGUACGAAAGCGUGGGGAGCAAACAGGAUUAGAUACCCUGGUAGUCCACGCCGUAAACGAUGUCUACUCGGAAUUUGGUGUCUUGAACACUGGGUUCUCAAGCUAACGCAUUAAGUAGACCGCCUGGGGAGUACGGCCGCAAGGUUAAAACUCAAAUGAAUUGACGGGGGCCCGCACAAGCGGUGGAGCAUGUGGUUUAAUUCGAUGCAACGCGAAGAACCUUACCUACUCUUGACAUCCUCAGAAUUUACCAGAGAUGGUUUAGUGCCUUCGGGAACUGAGAGACAGGUGCUGCAUGGCUGUCGUCAGCUCGUGUUGUGAAAUGUUGGGUUAAGUCCCGCAACGAGCGCAACCCUUAUCCUUAUUUGCCAGCACGU